ACCUGCAGACCCGUUCUGGAUGCCCAGGAGUCCUGUGAACCCGCAGCUGUCAUCACCACACUCUGCUCACUGAUUCCUUUCAUCUGAAGCUUUACCUUGAACUCAUACAUGAUUGGCCUCCAAUAUUCCACUUCAGUGGUGGUGCCAAUGAUCAUGAUCUACUUAAAAUGUUGGAUACUCAUACUAUACAGAGAGAGAGAUGAAGAUCCAAGGUGUGGGUACACAGUGACAAACAUUGAAGAAAAAAAGAAAGCUGUUUGGGUUUUUUUUUUAAGACGCAAGGAAUUUUUUGACAAUAAAUUUACACCCAUCGGCACAUCUAUUUUAACGUUCUGGAGCAACUGUGUGACAAUUUUCACACUUCUCUGUACGAAUGCUCUCUGGUGACAC